GGUCGAAUGGAUUUAAAUAAAAUGGACGUCCCUUAAAAACUGAAGAAUAAAGAUUUUACAUUUUGCUCGUACCAUGAGGGAUUGUGUUUAUCAUGACUCGAGGGGUAUUCUAACUUUCUUAAAAUGUCGCAAAGCUGAAAUGCGGAAAGUAUAUUGAUCCAAAUGAGUGCUUUCAAGUUAACUAACUAGUUACUUGCUUAACUCGACUAAGGAAAAUGGGAUAAAUGCAAUAUUCUCCAUUAGAAAAAGAUGCUAAUUCCAGUCUGAUCAAAGUAAAAUGUCGCAGAACCUAUGUUUACCUGUCACCUGAGAACCUCUAAACGGGUUCUGGCGAUCGUAAAAAAUUAUGUGAAACACAAAUAUUUAACAGAAAAUCCAAGUAUGCAGCUUAACAGAAACAUCUUUUCAUUGAAAAUGUCAAUUUAUUACCAUAAUUACUCACAAUCGAUACAUAUUUAAAAGAAAUAUUUACAUAAACGAGUAUCGGGGGCUUUACUUAUU